UAUCAAUAAGCGGAGGAAAAGAAACCAACAGGGAUUGCCUCAGUAACGGCGAGUGAAGCGGCAAUAGCUCAAAUUUGAAAGCUGGCGUCUUCGACGUCCGCGUUGUAAUUUGUAGAGGAUGUUUCGGCGAGGGCUCCUGCCUAAGUUCCCUGGAAUGGGACGUCACAGAGGGUGAGAAUCCCGUAUGUGGCGGGCGGCCUUAGCCAUGUGAAACUCCUUCGACGAGUCGAGUUGUUUGGGAAUGCAGCUCUAAAUGGGAGGUAAAUUUCUUCUAAAGCUAAAUACCGGCCAGAGACCGAUAGCGCACAAGUAGAGUGAUCGAAAGAUGAAAAGCACUUUGGAAAGAGAGUUAAAAAGUACGUGAAAUUGUUGAAAGGGAAGCGCUUGCAACCAGACUCGUUCGCAGUUGCUCAGCCCGCCUCUUGGUGGGUGUACUCUUCUGCGGUCGGGCCAGCAUCAGUUCGGGCGGUCGGAUAAAGGUGUCGGGAAUGUAGCACCCUUCGGGGUGUGUUAUAGCCCGGCGCGGAAUGCGGCCAGCCUGGACUGAGGAUCUCGCUUCGGCAAGGAUGCUGGCGUAAUGGUUGUAAGCGGCCCGUCUUGAAACACGGACCAAGGAGUCUAACAUCUAUGCGAGUGUUUGGGUGUCAAACCCAUGCGCGUAAUGAAAGUGAACGGAGGUGGGAACCCGCAAGGGUGCACCAUCGACCGAUCCUGAUGUCUUCGGAUGGAUUUGAGUAAGAGCAUAGCUGUUGGGACCCGAAAGAUGGUGAACUAUGCCUGAAUAGGGUGAAGCCAGAGGAAACUCUGGUGGAGGCUCGCAGCGGUUCUGACGUGCAAAUCGAUCGUCAAAUUUGGGUAUAGGGGCGAAAGACUAAUCGAACCAUCUAGUAGCUGGUUCC
rnacentral:rRNA from 1 species